AUACUUACCUGGCAGGGGAGAUACCAUGAUCAAGAAGGUGGUUCACCCAGGGCGAGGCUCAGCCAUUGCACUCCGGUUGUGCUGAUCCCUGCGAAUUCCCCAAAUGUGGGUAUCUUGACUGCAUAAUUUCUGGUAGUGGGGGACUGUGUUCGCGCUCUCCCCUG
rnacentral:snRNA from 1 species